CUACGGGCGGCACCAGUGAGGAAUUUUGCGCAAUGGGCGAAAGCCUGACGCAGCAACGCCGCGUGAGUGAUGAAGGCCUUCGGGUCGUAAAGCUCUGUCAAGUGGGAAGAACCUAUGUAAUGUUAAUAUCAUUAUAUACUGACGGUACCACUGAAGGAAGCACCGGCUAACUCCGUGCCAGCAGCCGCGGUAAUACGGGGGGUGCAAGCGUUAUUCGGAAUCAUUGGGCGUAAAGGGCACGUAGGCGGCCUGGUAAGUCAGAUGUGAAAGCCCGGGGCUUAACCCCGGAAGUGCAUUUGAGACUGUCAGGCUUGAGUAUGGGAGAGGGAAGUGGAAUUCCUGGUGUAGAGGUGAAAUUCGUAGAUAUCAGGAGGAACACCGGUGGCGAAGGCGACUUCCUGGACCAAUACUGACGCUGAGGUGCGAAGGCGUGGGUAGCAAACAGGAUUAGAUACCCGCGUAGUC
rnacentral:rRNA from 1 species